UAAAAAUCUCGGACUUAAUUAAAAAGUUGUUUUUUUUGCCAAUGGAUUUCAAACCACUAUGACAGCCGCAUCCUAUAAAUGUAAUGACAUCCAGAACUAUCCUGGUCAGUGUGUCACUGCUCGGACGUUUUUGCCUCAAAGGAAAGAAGGCGCUGGUCAUUGGCUUGUCGCAUUCAGAAAGGCAGAGGAGGACAGAUUCAGGGCUGUGCAAAGAAGAAAAAUUAAAGAGACUUUCAAUAAACAGAAAAACAGGUCAACACCUACUGAUGAUGCUGGUGGGAAAAACUUAGAUCGAGCUUUACUUCUCCAGUUACACUGUGUGGAAAAGCCAUCUGAGCUGUGCUGUGUUGACAUCAGCGAACAGGAGCUGAAUUCUGUAAGCGCCACUUUUCACAUUUUACUCAGAGUUAAAACCAAAUAUUGGGCUGUGACGAUGCAUUAUGACUGAACAUGUUAAACAGGUGAAGGCAGAAGACCUCACAGAGUUUGAGAAUGUGGCU
rnacentral:lncRNA from 1 species